UGGGGAAUUUUGGACAAUGGGGGAAACCCUGAUCCAGCCAUCCCGCGUGUGCGAUGAAGGCCUUCGGGUUGUAAAGCACUUUUGGCAGGAAAGAAACGUCAUGGGUUAAUACCCCGUGAAACUGACGGUACCUGCAGAAUAAGCACCGGCUAACUACGUGCCAGCAGCCGCGGUAAUACGUAGGGUGCAAGCGUUAAUCGGAAUUACUGGGCGUAAAGCGUGCGCAGGCGGUUCGGAAAGAAAGAUGUGAAAUCCCAGAGCUCAACUUUGGAACUGCAUUUUUAACUACCGGGCUAGAGUGUGUCAGAGGGAGGUGGAAUUCCGCGUGAAGCAGUGAAAUGCGUAGAUAUGCGGAGGAACAACGAUGGCGAAGGCAGCCUCCUGGGAUAACACUGACGCUCAUGCACGAAAGCGUGGGGAGCAAACAG
rnacentral:rRNA from 1 species